CUCAGAGGAAGGCUGUUCUUCUCUGGUCUCAGCUCUGAGCUCCAACCUCUCACAUCUGAGAGAGCUGGACCUGAGCUACAAUCAUCCAGGAGACUCAGGAGUGAAGCUACUGUCAGCGGGACUGAAGGAUCCUCUCUGGAGACUGGACACUCUCAGGGUGGAGCCUGCUGGAGUCAGAUGGUUGACACCAGGUCUGAGGAAGUGUAAGUCUGUUUUACAUUUCAUUCAUGGAACUGUGACAUCACUCAUUCAACCCUCCAGACCUGCCAACAUAUUCCUGUGAACUCACACUGGACACAAACACAGUGAACAGAA